CCGGGAAGUCCUCGUGUUGCAUCCU
rnacentral:siRNA from 1 species